rnacentral:rRNA from 1 species
GACGAACCGUCCUAACGUUGUUCGGAAUUACUGGGCGUAAAGUGUGCGCAGGCGGCAGAGCAAGUCGAGUGUGAAAGCCCCGGGCUUAACCUGGGAAUGGCCAUGGAAACUGGCGAACUGGAGUGUGGCAGAGGGGGGUGGAAUUCCGCGUGUAGCAGUGAAAUGCGUAGAGAUGCGGAGGAACACCGAUGGCGAAGGCAGCCCCCUGGGCUAACACUGACGCUCAGGCACGAAAGCGUGGGGAGCAAACAGG